AUUGAACGCUGGCGGCAGGCCUAACACAUGCAAGUCGAACGGUAACAGGAAACAGCUUGCUGUUUCGCUGACGAGUGGCGGACGGGUGAGUAAUGUCUGGGAAACUGCCUGAUGGAGGGGGAUAACUACUGAAACGGUAGCUAAUACCGCAUAACGUCGCAAGACCAAAGAGGGGGACCUUCGGGCCUCUUGCCAUCGGAUGUGCCCAGAUGGGAUUAGCUAGUAGGUGGGGUAACGGCUCACCUAGGCGACGAUCCCUAGCUGGUCUGAGAGGAUGACCAGCCACACUGGAACUGAGACACGGUCCAGACUCCUACGGGAGGCAGCAGUGGGGAAUAUUGCACAAUGGGCGCAAGCCUGAUGCAGCCAUGCCGCGUGUAUGAAGAAGGCCUUCGGGUUGUAAAGUACUUUCAGCGGGGAGGAAGGGAGUAAAGUUAAUACCUUUACUCAUUGACGUUACCCGCAGAAGAAGCACCGGCUAACUCCGUG
rnacentral:rRNA from 1 species